UACAGAGGGGGCAAGCGUUGUUCGGAAUUACUGGGCGUAAAGGGCGCGUAGGCGGCCUUCUAAGUCGAACGUGAAAUCCCCGGGCUCAACCCGGGAACUGCGUCCGAUACUGGAAGGCUUGAAUCCGGGAGAGGGAUGCGGAAUUCCCAGUGUAGAGGUGAAAUUCGUAGAUAUUGGGAAGAACACCAGCGGCGAAGGCGGCUCACUGGCCCGUAACUGACGCUGAGGCGCGAAAGCGUGGGGAGCAAACCGG
rnacentral:rRNA from 1 species